rnacentral:rRNA from 1 species
UCCCAGACUCCUACGGGAGGCAGCAGUGGGGAAUAUUGCACAAUGGGGGAAACCCUGAUGCAGCGACGCCGCGUGAGUGAAGAAGUAUUUCGGUAUGUAAAGCUCUAUCAGCAGGGAAGAAAAUGACGGUACCUGACUAAGAAGCCCCGGCUAACUACGUGCCAGCAGCCGCGGUAAUACGUAGGGGGCAAGCGUUAUCCGGAUUUACUGGGUGUAAAGGGAGCGUAGACGGCAUGGCAAGUCAGAUGUGAAAGCCCGGGGCUCAACCCCGGGACUGCAUUUGAAACUGUGCUUCUUGAGUGCUGGAGAGGCAGACGGAAUUCCUAGUGUAGCGGUGAAAUGCGUAGAUAUUAGGAGGAACACCAGUGGCGAAGGCGGUCUGCUGGACAGUAACUGACGGUGAGGCGCGAAAGCGUGGGGAGCAAACAGGAUUAGAUACCCCAGUA